AAUCCCAGCGCCGCUCGGGCGCGCCAAUUUAGGGAAAAGGCUCCGCCCAUGCCCCGCCCCCUGAGACCUGGCGCCGGGCGCUUUGAGGCCCGGCUUACUCCCUUGCUGGGUAUGGGGAAGGGGCGUCUUCUGUCCUUGUGGUCCGCUUCUAGGCUUUUUGGAGCAUCUUCCAGGGUCACUCCAGAGACCCCCCCAGACUACUGAAUCUGAAUCCGUUAGGGUGGUCCAACCUUCCUCUUCAGGUGUCUACUAGAGGCAAGGUUGGAUGUAUGCGGCUGCCCUCAGUACAGCCCCUUCCUUGUUUUUUCUUCAUUUGUGUUUACUUAAAACAUUAAUCCUUUUCUCCCUCUCCUCCAUCCCUCUCCCUCCCCUACUAUACAGUUAUUGACUUACACUAAUUCAUUCCCGAUGAUCUCCCAGAAGGAAAUAAGUGUCUGUCUGUCUCUGUCUCUGUACCAUCGUCUUCUUGGUACAGUUCGGACUAUUUUUUCUCUACACCCCAGUUAUGCAAAGUGUAGUCCCUGAACCAGCAGCCUCAGCAUCCUGAGGGAAUUUGUUAAAAACGCGAAAUCUCAAGCCCUACCCAGACUUACUGAAUCAGUGUCUGCAUUGCAACAAGAUCCCCUGGUAAUUCCUAUGCACAUCAAAAUUUGGAAGGCACAGCUCUCAACUGAUGUCCUGGGUCUCCUUCACAUCCAUCCUGGGAAGGUCUUAUUCCUCAUUCCUGAGCUCAUCCCACUGAAGAGCUAUGGCACUUCCAAUUCCUGAGCCUUUGUGAGGUUCUGCGUGUCAGUAAGCUUGCUUCCGGGCAUCACCUCCGAAAACACUUGGGUUUCAGUUUUCUCUGUGAGGCUUCUUAAGGAGUGGAGGAAAGUGGAUGUUUUCAAGAUAACGCAGCUAACAUUCAAAGAGGUUAAGUGAAUUGUCCAAAGUCACACAGCAAGCACUGGAGGUAAGAUUCAAACCUGAAUAGUCUAUCAUUUCAGAGUACUUUCAACACUAUGCAAUACUAUCUCUCUAGCAAUCAGCCAGAUUGAAUAAGAUCUGUAGUUCACAGAGCCACUUGCAUUUUUAAUCCUAGUUUAAUUAACUUAGGAAAUUUGUAUCUAAAGGAUGCAUCUUUUUUUUUUUUUUUUUCAAUAGAGGCAGUGUCUCACCAUGUUGCCCAGACUGGCCUCAAACUUCUGGGCUCAAACCAUCCUCCCAUCUCAGCCUUCCAAAUGCUGAGAUUACAGGCGUGAGCCACCACGUCCCACCGGGAUACAUAGGUUUUACGGUAUCCUCUGAACCUCCCUUUAAUCAAGAGAGUGGACAAAACUGUGGGUCCCUCAUUUUCAAAAUGGCCAGUAAAAGAGGAAAUAAGGAUAUGCAAUGUUUAGUUAUUUUCUGCUGCCCUCUUUAAGUUGAUUGGGGAUCUCUUUGUCACUACUUUGGGAAGAUAACUUACCUUCUUAUCCACUAUGGCUAAUUGGAGCUUUUCUCAUGUCUUUAUGGUUGCUGGGAAAUUUUCAAAUAAAAUUCACUGGGAAUGGUUUGAAAUUGCAGAAUUUUUAGCCUCCCGAUGUUUUAUUUUCCUCUAGUGAGUUGGACAUAAAUAAUAUCCUCUUUUGAGAUUUGUAUCUUUGAAAGACAUUUUUUUUUAAGUUUCUCAGUGAAACAAAGAAAAAAUUAGAAGGUGGUUGG
rnacentral:lncRNA from 1 species